rnacentral:rRNA from 1 species
AUUGAACGCUGGCGGCACGCCUAACACAUGCAAGUCGAGCGGCAGCGCUGAUAGUAGCAAUACUAUCUGGCGGCGAGCGGCGGACGGGUGAGGAACACGUAGGAACCUGUCCUUCAGAGGGGGAUAACCAAGGGAAACUUUGGCUAAUACCGCGUAGACUCGAAAGAGGAAAGCUGCCCGCAAGGGUGGCGCUGGAGGAGGGGCCUGCGUCCGAUUAGCUAGUUGGAGAGGUAAAAGCUCACCAAGGCGAUGAUCGGUAACUGGUCUGAGAGGACGACCAGUCACACUGGGACUGAGACACGGCCCAGACUCCUACGGGAGGCAGCAGUGGGGAAUAUUGGACAAUGGGGGAAACCCUGAUCCAGCGAUGCCGCGUGGGUGAAGAAGGCCUUCGGGUUGUAAAGCCCUUUAGGUUGGGAAGAAGGAUAUACGGUGAAUACCCGUGUAUUUUGACGGUACCGACAGAAUAAGCACCGGCAAACUCUGUGCCAGCAGCCGCGGUAAUACAGAGGGUGCGAGCGUUAAUCGGAAUUACUGGGCGUAAAGGGCGCGUAGGCGGUGAUAUAUGUGUGAUGUGAAAGCCCCGGGCUUAACCUGGGAAGUGCAUCGCAAACUGUAU